rnacentral:lncRNA from 1 species
CAUGCGGUACAUAAAUAUAUAGUUUUUUGAGGACCGUCUUUGAAUAAAAAUUUCUUAAAUGAAUGUACCCAAAAAAGAAUUCUUAAAUGAAGUUUCUUCUACCUUUGUUUUUUGUUGACAUGUUAGUUCUACCUACUACCGCUCUAAAUUUAUUCAAACAACGUGUAAAACUAUAUUUUUUUGGUGACUAUAAAAAAAACUAUUUAAUUACAAAAUUGUCAUUUUUGUUUUGUUUUUAGUAUCAGUAUUCAACCCACUAGAUUGCCUAAUUUGGUUCGUAGGUUAUUUUUGACAUCAAGUGGUUCCA